UUUGACACAUUAAAAUCUAUAAUUAUAUAAAUUGAUUCAUGCCUAAAAAUAGACAAAUCAUGGAAACUACAAAUACUGUUAUAUAGUCUGUAUAGAUAUAUAAAACGGAUAUCGGAAUUAAGAGAACUGAUCAAAAUUGUUCCUUGUUCCAAAGAAUAUUUUAUUUAUUUUUUAUAGCUCUUUGCUUGUUCUGAGACGUAGUUUUUACAUAAAAUGGAAAAUAAUCCAGGAAACGAAACCGAAACAAACAACAUAUGUUGUGGUGUUGGUAAACUUGGCAUUAGUGAAGGUGCAUGUGUUGAUUGUGGAACGAAAGAUAAUUCCGAGGGAUGUAAAAAUGAAAAUAAAAAUGACCGUGACAAUACAGGCAUUACACGAGAGGACAUAACUUUGCCAGAAUGUUUCAAGGGAAAACUGGCUUUCGUUUUACGUAAUGUAUUUUCUGACAAGGAAUGCAAAGACUAUAUAAAGAAAACAGAGAAGAUGGGAUAUGAAGACGCCCUUGUAAAUGUUGGAGGCGGAAGACAGCGUAUGAUGAAAGAUGUGAGGAACAACACGAGAUGUAUCUGGGAUUCAUUUGAAGAAGCUGACAGAAUCUGGCAAAGAAUCAAAAAAUAUAUUCCAGAAACUUGGGAAAGCAGAAAAGUAAUGGCAUUAAAUGAAAGAUUAAGGUUUUUGAAAUACGAUCCGGGCGAGUACUUCGCUCCCCACAUGGACGGCAUGUAUAUAAGACCAAAUGGAGAAAAGAGCUAUAUUACCAUACAGUUAUAUCUGAACGAGGUAGGUGAUGAUGACUCGAUGUGCAGAACACAUGAACCAGGUCGGUAAGUGAAAGACCACAAAUGGAUCUCAGCGGUCAAAUUUGCCGUUCAUACUUCGUGUCCGGAGCAUAACAACCAUUCAAGGAAUUGAGUUCAAUCUUGGCAUAUGGGUAGGUUGCGAUGAGACAACUUGCAGAGUGCAUGAACCAGAUAGGUCAAAGUUCAAAAUCACAAAAAGGUCAAAUCCAUCCAUCAUAGUUUGCGUCCAAAGCAUAACUUAAUAGCCAUUCAAGAUGUCGGCUUCAAACUUGACAUUAUAGGUAGGAGGCGACGAGACGAUGUGCAGAGUGCAUGAACUUGGUCGGGGUUUGAAGGUGGUAGCACAACCUUCAUGAAUUUUGCCGAAAAGGAAAGAGUAGAAGUUGUCCCGGAAACAG